rnacentral:tRNA from 1 species
CGGAGCAUAGCGCAGCCUGGUAGCGCACACGUCUGGGGGGCGUGUGGUCGUGGGUUCAAAUCCCGCUGCUCCGACCA